UAAAAAUCUACUUCACCAUACAAAUUAAACUAAAACAUUCUUCUGCCCCAGUAUGGGCGACAGAAAAGGCACUACUGGCGCUAUAGAGAUCCGUACCGUAAGGGAAAGAUGAAAUAGUAAUGAAAACCCGAGCAAAAAACAGCAAAGAUAAACCCUUGUACCUCUUGCAUCAUGAUUUAGCAAGAACAACCAAGCAAAACGAGUUUAAGCUUGCCACCCCGAAACCCGAGCGAGCUACUCACAAGCAGCUACCCCCUGAGCGAACCCGUCUCUGUUGCAAAAGAGUGGGAUGACUUGUUAGUAGAGGUGAAAAGCCUACCGAGCCGGGUGAUAGCUGGUUGCCCGUGAAAUGAAUCUAAGUUCUCUCUUAAUUUUCUCUUUUCCCCCCCGGACAAUCCAACCGCAACCACCAUGUGACAAAUCAAGAGCAAUUUAAAGGAGGUACAGCUCCUUUAAAAAAGAAUACAAUCUCCCCUAGCGGAUAACUGCCCAACUGACCCUAAACUGUGGGCCCUCAAGCAGCCAUCAACAAAGAAUGCGUCAAAGCUCUACCCCAAAAAAUCCAAAAACAACAGGACUCCCUUAUCUAUAGCGGGCCAACCUAUAAUAAUAGGAGAAUCAAUGCUAAAAUGAGUAAUCGGGGGCCACCCUCUCGAGCGCAAACUUACAUCACCACAUUGUUAACAAGCCCUAAACUAAUAUCCCACCCUCAAACAAGCUAAGUAUUAAACUUACCCUGUUAGUCCAACUCAGGAGCGCCCAAUUAGAAAGAUUCAAAUCUGCAAAAGGAACUAGGCAACCCUAAGGCCCGACUGUUUACCAAAAACAUAGCCUUCAGCCAACCAAGUAUUGAAGGUGAUGCCUGCCCAGUGACACUCCGUUCAACGGCCGCGGUAUCCUAACCGUGCGAAGGUAGCGCAAUCAAUUGUCCCAUAAAUCGAGACUUGUAUGAAUGGCUAAACGAGGUCUUAACUGUCUCUUGCAGACAAUCAAUGAAAUUGAUCUUCCUGUGCAAAAGCAGGAAUAAACCCAUAAGACGAGAAGACCCUGUGGAACUUAAAAAUCAGCGGCCACCACACACAACCCAAAACCUACCAGGCCUACGACCCCAAGUAAAACACUGGCCCGCAUUUUUCGGUUGGGGCGACCUUGGAGAAAAGUAAAUCCUCCAAAAACAAGACCACACACCUUGACCAAGAGCAACCCCUCAACGUACUAACAGUAACCAGACCCAAUAUAAUUGACCAAUGGACCAAGCUACCCCAGGGAUAACAGCGCAAUCCCCUCCAAGAGCCCAUAUCGACAAGGGGGUUUACGACCUCGAUGUUGGAUCAGGACACCCUAAUGGUGCAGCCGCUAUUAAGGGUUCGUUUGUUCAACGAUUAACAGUCCUACGUGAUCUGAGUUCAGACCGGAGCAAUCCAGGUCGGUUUCUAUCUAUGCCGGGCUUUUCCUAGUACGAAAGGACCGGAAAAGCAAGGCCCAUACUAUAGGCAUGCCUUCCCUCUAAGUAGUGAACCCAACUAAACUACCAAACAGGACACACCAUUUCACCAUCCUAGAAAAGGAUCG
rnacentral:rRNA from 1 species